rnacentral:rRNA from 1 species
AUUGAACGCUGGCGGCAGGCCUAACACAUGCAAGUCGAACGAGUGGCGGACGGGUGAGUAAUGUCUGGGAAACUGCCCGAUGGCGGGGGGUAACUACUGGAAACGGUAGCUAAUACCGCAUACCAUCGGAUGUGCCCAGAUUGGAUUAGCUUGUAGGUGAGGUAACGGCUCACCUAGGCGACGAUCCCUAGCUGGUAUGAGAGGAUGACCAGCCCCACGGGAACUGAGACACGGUCCAGACUCCUCCGGACGGCAGCAGUGGGGAAUAUUGGACAAUGGGCGAAAGCCUGAUCCAGCCAUGCCGCGUGUGUGAGGAAGGUCUUCGGAUUGUAAAGCCCUUUAAGUUGGGAGGCGUUACCAACAGAAUAAGCACCGGCUAACUCCGUGCCAGCCGCCGCGGUAAUUC